AUAGAAUAGACCAUAGUUUCGUUCGUAUUAGACAUGGAGUCAGAGCUCAGAGUCGGUUUGUAAGGCAGAUCCUCUCUAUAUAUGAGGUAGCCACGCACAACAUCUGCACCUAGGGCCUCCAGCCCUAGCUGCAUCUUCCCUUCCAUGGCUCCCAAGUGCUCCCGUAUUGGUCCUAAUCUAAUCCUCUACAGAUUGCGUUCCCACAAAUCAAGUUGUGACAUUUUGGUUUCAGAGCCAGCCAUUCCUUCUUCCAUGGGGACCAACGACAGUGAUGAUGCUUGGAAACAAGAGCUCAUGCAGCUCAUGAAGUUGAUGGCUGCGACGAACCAACGUCUUGACGACACCAUUGCUCGUUUGGACAGCCAUGAUGGCCUGCUUGACUCCCUCGCCAAGCAUCUGGACUGCCAUGGUACUCAUCUGGCACGUAUUGAAGACGCCAGCCAAUCGGACGGAUGCCGACAAGGAAGACGCGGAAGGUGCAGCUGCCGGAGACAAGCUGGUGGGCCCCGGCGAUCUGCCCACCUCGUACGAUUGAGGAGAGCAAGGCCACCAGCAUUUUGGCGUCUUCAAGACGUCGUUCGCAUCCUUUGGCAGAACGGAGGAUGCCUUAAGAGCAUCUACAGCCGGGCUCUUCAAACGCGCCCGCGGACGGCCUGGUCAGUGAUCGGUCACAAAAUCGUUCCUGACCGGCACACCUCAUAUACAACCCAUAUCUAGGAUGGAUAUGGGGAGGCCCGGGCGCGUCCGUUACGUCGGAUCUGACGGAUCUGACAGACAGGACCCACCACUAAUUUCACCAAAUCCGCCCCCCUGACCUUGCUGGAUCAACCCUUUUCCUUUCCUCUCUUCUCCCUCGUCCGCGUCGGCCCUCCCCUAGCCCCGCCGCCGUCCUGACCCCUCGGCGCCGCCCCAGACAUUGUCACCGCCUCGGCCGCCACCAGUGGCAAAAUGAUAGAUUCGGAGGGUUAACAAGGAGCUUGAUGAAUUAAUGCAAAAGGAGUUCUUCGAUUCGUCAGAGUCGGAUGGAGAUGCCGAGAUGAUGAUGAUCAUGAGCAUCCAAGAGGAAAUGGACAGGGAGGUGGGGCGCAUUCUGAACUUCAAGGGUAUGAUCAAAGGGAGAAGAGUUUUCAACCAGGAUAGGGUCGAUGGAGGACGGUUGCUCUAUAAGGACUACUUUAAGCCCGGCCCAACAGUCCCUGAUAAUUUUUUUGCCGACGCUUUUGUUUGCAAAAAAAAGACGUUUUCGUUUGCGCAAACCCUUGUUCUUGCGCGUGGUGGAGGGAGUGGAGGCACAUGAUUCGUACUUCAGGCUCAACAAGGAUUGUUGCAGACAACUCUCGUUCUCUCCUAAGCAGAAAUGCACGGUUGCUAUGAGGAUGCUUGCAUUAGGUACCGCCAUCUAUGCCAUUGGUGAAAUGGUUCGGAUGGGAGAGAGCACAUGCCUGAAGACCACUGUGAGGUUUACCCGAAUAAUGGUGAAGGUGUUUGGAAUAGAGCAUCUAAUAGAACCAAAUGUGCAAGACACAUCAAGGUUGAUGGCUAUUGGAGCGGCUAGAGGUUUUCCAGGUAUGUCCGGUUCAGUUGAUUGCAUGCAUUGACUUUGGAAGAACUGCCUCAAAAGGUUCGCGUGAGAUGUACCAAGGUCAGUGUUGAGGAGAAGAAAGGGAAUGGGGUUCAACACACUCGAUUAUGCUCAAAGGCUGGGUUUGUACAGGUUGCCGUCCUCAGCCGAGCAGGAUCGUGGGCAUGCCACUACCUCAGGAUGUGCAUCACUACCUACACAACUGCUGCACGAUCAUGGCUAUGCCGUAUGGCAGGCUAUACAGGGCGCAUACGGUAUAGAACUACCUAGUCUAUCAGUCAGAUAAAAGAAACCACCAUCAUACUCGACGCAGUGGCAUCAAGGGACUUGUGGAUUUGGCAUGCCUGGUUCUCACAAUGACAUCAAUGUGCUCCAGUGAUCUCCCCUGUUCAGGAGACUUUGUAAUGGGAAAGCGCCACCGUGCAACUACACAGUCAAUGGGCACGACUACAACAUGGGGUAUCCUCAGUAGUGCGGCGUUUGUGAAGACCAUAUUCGAUCCCCAUGGCAACAAAUAGUCAUUUUGCAACAAUGGAAGAAGCAACUAAGAAGGAUGUGGAUGUUGAAGUGUAUAUGUGGAUUGCCUAACCCUUUUCACCAGUUUGAACUUUUGGUUGCGUUGACUAGUGCAUGAAGCGUAACGUGGUAUCAGGGUCUAAGGUCUUGAGUUCAAGUCCUGGCUUUUGCAAUUUAUUAAAAAAAAUGUCGUUGCCCCCCUCUUUGUCCAUGUAUAGGCCUCUUGAGCCAUACCUAUGAGUCUAUUCACAUGUUGACUUCCUGUGUCACACGUGAGAGGGGGUGUUGGAAGUGUAUAUUGGAUUGCCUAGCCCUUCCCAUCAGUUCAGACUUUUGGUUGCGUUUGCUAGUGCAUGAAGCUUAACAGUGGAGAGGGCAUUUAGAGUGCUCCAAGUUUGUUGGGGUAUUGUUCGUGGAGCUGCAAUGAUGUGGGAAUCUGAGACUUUGUGGCAGCUGAUGACAUGUUGUGUCAUUUUGCACAAUAUAUGAUUGUCGAGGAGGAGAGGGUGAAGGGGCAGCCUGAAUCCAUGAUUUCGGGAAGUCUCGAGAACAAGUCCACAUCCCGAAGCAAGAGACAGAUCAGAUUCCGAAUUUUCUGCAUAUGUAUCAGAAUCUUUGAGAUCAACAGGUGCACGUGUAGCUACUCAAUGAUAUUGUGGAGCAUAUGUGGACCCACAAUGAAAACCGAGGAAACCCAAAAAGUUUAAUGUUUGAAUUAUGCACUUCAAAUAAAUUUUAUGUUUGAACUAUGUAACAAAUGUUAUUUAUGUGUGAUAUUCAUGUGUAUGAUCGAUGUGCAUGAAUUUGAGGGUUUUGAUAUGAGGAGUGUGGCUGUCCGACAGGACAUAUGAUGAAUUUGAGGGUUUUGAUAUGAGGAGUGUGGUUGUCCGACAGGACAUAUGAGGGGCCGUCCGGCGCUGUUCGGGGUCACGUCUGGGCUCGUCGGUGGACGUUUAGGAGGCGGGAUUUGCAAAGUCCGGCUGUAGAUGCUCUAACUUGGCUAAAUUUGUGCGAGCAAUUUUUGAAGCCUAGGACACACACCCCAACGAUAAGGUCUGGAUGGCAUCCAAUCACAUGUCUGGCAAGGCCCGCAAGUGGUACAUGCACCUUCUACGUGCUGAGGACAGCCGCCCAGGCUGGGAUCGUUUUUCUGCUCUUGCAAGCAAGCGUUUUGGACCAUCCACUUGGCGCAACCUCAUUGGGGAUUUGAUAGAGUUGCGCAGGGGUGGAGGUACCUGGAGGACUACAUCAACAAUUUUUCAACCUCUCGGCAUGCACGACCAACCUAUCCCUCCAGCAUGAAAUGCAAAUAUUCAUUGCAGGGUUGCAAGAUCCGAUCAGGAUGCCUGUUGAGCUCCGGGAGCCCUUUGAUCUAGAAGAAGCUACUGAGUGUAACUCGUGCUUUUGAGCGUUUGGAGUCCCUGGACACAGGUCCUCGAUCUUCCAGCAAGUAGUCCUCUAGCAAGUGACUGGGUUAGUCGUUCCAUAACUUACGCGGGUAGCUCAUCUAUCAUAGCAGGAGCAAGAACUACAUCAUCUGCUGGCGUCACAGGAUCAACUCGAGCAUUCAAAAGCUUGACACCACCUGAGAUGGAGGAGCGCCGACGAUAGGGCCUCUGCUAUAAUUGCGACGAAAAAUUCCAACUAGGGCACCGUUAUAAGAAGCUAUUCAUGCGUCACAUCAUACGUGAGUCCGAUGAUGACGAGGAGACAACUAACAACACCCAACAGGAGGAACCGCCACAAAUUUUGCUGCACACCCUUACGGGUAUCUGGAGCUCCAGUACCAUGCAACUUCGGGUCGACAUCGGUGGUGUCUUCCUUCUUGCUCUUGUUGACUCCGAUUCGACUCAUAUCUUUCUCACCGAGGAGCUAAUCAACAAAGUGGGUGCGGUACUUAACCUCUGUGCUGGGAUUCGGGUUGCAGUUGCCAAUGGCGAACAUGUGAUCUGCAGCGGUGUUUACUGUAACACUAGCAGUGCCAUUGACAUGGAGCCAUUUUUCAUCGACUUAUUUGCAAUACCACUCGGUGGGCUCGAUGUUGUCCUCGGUGUGCAGUGGCUGGGCAUAUUGGGUCCCGUCCUUUGGGAUUUCAAACGUCUCCGGGUGUCCUUCUGGCGUGGCCGACCAUCAAGUUGCAUGGAAUGGGGAGGUCAUAUUGACAAACCCAAUUCGCCUUGCAACAACUUCUGGGCCAGUCCCUGGACCUCCCAACGGAGCUUCUUCUCGAGUUUGACUCCCUCUUAGACGACCCCACAGGUCUUCCUCCUGAGCGCAGUCACGACCACCGCAUCCACUUGCACACUGACACAACAGCCAUGCUGGUGCGGCCUUAUCAAUAUCCAGCCUUACAGAAGGAUGAGUUAGAACAACAAUGCUCUGCGCUCCUGGCUCAAUAGUUCAUCCGCCUAAGCAAUUCUGCACUAUCAGCACCAGUCAUCCUUGUCAACAAGCAUGAUGGAUCAUGGCGCAUGUGUGGACUAUCGAACGAAACAAUUAAGGACAAGUAUCCUAUUCCUGUAGUGGAAGAACUUCUGGACAAACUCAAGGGAGCGCAUUACUUCACCAAGUGGGAUCCGCGCUCAGGUUAUCAUCAAGUUCGUAUGCACCCUGCAGAUAUUAAGAAGACCGCUGUCAGGACGCAUGAGGGCCUGUUUGAGUUCUUGGGCAUGCCUUUUGGGUUGACUAACGCACGAGCCACAUUCCAAGCAUUGAUGAAUGAUAUCCUUUCCCGUUCCUGCAUCUUUUUGUGCUUAUAUUUUUCGAUGAAAUCUUAAUUUACAGUGCUUGCUGGGCGGAUCACCUAUGCACGCACGCGCAGUGUUCAAGCUACUUCAGUAACACCAGCUCUUGCUCAAGCGCUCCAAGUGCCUUUUUGGGGAAACCUCUGUAGCCUACCUUGGCCACAUUAUCACGACCAAGGGAGUUGCCAUGGAUCAGAUGAGUUGGCUGGUGCAUGAAUUCAACAGGAUGCACACGGCCAACACCAACGCACACACACACACAAAACAUGCCGGCGAAUAGCAAAGUCAUGUAAGAUCAAAGCUAUGCAUAGGCAAGGAAAAAAGAAAAGAACCCCAAAGAGACUGGAUCCGCGAUCGUCAAACAACAACAAUGACCAUAUCCACACCAACCAUCCGAUGACACCACACGGACGACAAGAUUCUUCAACAGCAAUGCCUUAAGGGAGCGACACUCAGUUGCCGUCGUCACCGGAUCCAACCAUCCAAGGCUAGAAUCUAGGUUUUCGCCUUGAAAAAUCAGUUUGAGCAUAUCCUAGCAAGGCUACGAGACUCUUCUCGUUUCGUCCACGUCUCUCCCGUGAGAGACCGGGCGAAACCCUCGUCGCUGCCAACCCUCGUUCCCCUCGCCCCACUUUUCCCCUCGCCGCCGCCAGGGCGCGUCGUCAGGCGAAGCCCAGCUAGUGUUGGCGGCGGCGGGGAUCCUGUUCCUUCUCGGCUCGUGUGUGGUGGCGCGGGCGUUGACAUAUAUAUUGGUGGGGGCACCUCGCUUCGGCGCAGUGCGUCACGGCGGGGCUACGCUGGUGGUGUGGCUAGGCGGCUGUUUUGCGGUGGCUGUUCUGCGGCGGCUACGUGGCGUACGUGGCGUUCCUCUCCUCCCGCCUCCGAAGCGUCUUUUUUUUGAAGGUUGAAACAGUAGGAAAGGCUCCUACUGCAUAUAUAUUAAAGAAUCAGAGUCACUGUGGUGUUACAUGCAUUUACAUAUGGAGUGGGGUCAGUUAACCUAAACAGGUCAGAAUUCUAAGAUCUAGUCUAUGAGGGGGAGUGAGCAAGAUUUACAAAAGUCACAAAGACAAUCAGGGUACUGCAGCCAGGAGGUCGAGAACUAGGUGUCUUUUUUGGGAAGGCAACCUAUAGGCCAUAUUGCCAAAGUCCUCCUUGAAUCUGUUCUUCCAAGAGCUCAUCGAGGGGCACUCUUUUGAAGUAGUUGUUGUUAUGUUCUUUCCACAGGCUCCAUGCCGCUACUAGGAAAACUUCCAUGAUCAUAUUGCGUUUGUGGCUUGCUUUCAUGCGCUCCACGAGUUGCAAUCUGUUUAGGUGGUUGCUCCAUGUAAUGUUCAGAAUCUGCCAGCAUCGUUGACUGAAUCGACAGUGAAAGAACAGGCGUUCCACUGUCUCCUCGAAAUGUUCUUCACAUAGGAGGCAGUCAAGGUUGUCUCCAAUGUUAUAAUGUCUCCUUUUCAACAUGUUUCUGGUAUUUAGGCGAUCAGACAGAAGCAGCCAGCCGAAGACUUUGAUUUUGGGGGUACAUUUUGAUUUCCACAAUCAGCCAAACGCCGCGUGCGCAUUGAUUUCUCUGAAGUAAAAGUCGUAGUACGUUUUGGUUUUAAAGCUGCGGCCGUUCCAGGUGCAUCGCCAGGUGUCAUUCCCCCCCCCCCCCCCCAAUAUGUCCACAUUAAUCACUUCAGCCUGUAUCUGUCUCAAUUCUGCAUGAGCUUGCAUCGAGAGUGGCAGGUGAAAGGUUGUUGACAGGUAAAUAGAAAGCCAAGAAGAUCUCUACGGCGUAAACUGAACUGGUCCUUCCUUGCCGACCCCCUCCUCUCCCCUCCCGAGGCGCUCCCGUGGCGUCCCCGGGAGGCAACCCUAGUGCCGCCGCCCCCGUCUCCUCGCCCCGCUCCCCAUCCCUCGCCGCCGGCGGCGGCGUCGCCGGCCAAAGGCCGCGUGGCGCAGGCGGCGGCGGGGCGUCUUCCUCCCACGCGCAGGUGACGGGCGGCGCGGGGCGCCCUCCCCUGCUCGGUGGCGCCGGGCGCCGGUCGGCCGCUGCUCCGUUUUCCUCCCUCCUGGCGUCUUGGUGGACUGCCGGCACUCCCUCCUCCCCUCCCCCCCUCCUCGCUCGUGGGGGCUGGAGGCCCGGGGGCGUGCUGGCGGCGGAUCUGGCAACCCCUGCCCAGAUCCGGCUGCUGGUGGUGGUUGGUGGCGUCAGGGGUGGCCGGUGGCCCUUCCAAGGUGGUGGCGCUGCAACUGGUCCUCGUUUUGCUCCGGUGGGGUGGCGGGGCAUCGGCUGGUCCUGGCCAGGGCGUGGAGAUGCAGGUGGCGUGGUGGUGGUUGACGCUCUUGGCGGCCUUCUUCGGCGGCUGUGUGUGGUCGAUCCGGCGGCCCUCGCCGGCGGACGGGUGGCGGCCUCUUCCUUGCAGGUUCUGGCCGGAGGCCGUGGUAGGGCGUCAGGGGUGACGCAGGGGAGGCUGCUGGAGGGACGGGUAGACCGACUACCUGUCACCGGCGCAGGGGUGCGCCGGUCCGGACGAGCUCCGCUCCCCCCUCCCCUUUUCCUGGCCUAGUGCCUCCUUGCCGCUGACAGUUGUUCGGGGCGGGUCGGUCACCGGUGGUUUCGAUGGUGCUAGGGGUUUGCCGGUCGGCUCAAAGCUCGUGCCUUUGAUGGUCUCCGGAGUGUCUGGAUGCAAGGCGACGACCUUGGUGGUGGGAGCUGCUGGUUGCUCGUGGGCGGAGCUCGUGGCUCGGGCGCUGACGGGCUUGCUGUCAUGGCCGCGUGGGCGGCAUGGGGGUGGGCCUUCGACGAUCUUGGUGGUGGUGCGGCCGGCGCUCUCAUGUAGGGCCGUACCUUGGACGGAGGCUGAGGGUGGUGAGGGUGGUGGCUGGGGUGAAAACCUCGUCUGGCUCGGAGCCAGACCGAUGGCGGCGGCGUCCAUGCGUCGUUCCCUUCUUGAAGGCUCCCUCGCGGUGACCCUGCGUCCUUCGUGUUACUCCGGGUGAAAACCUAGAUUCCCUGGAUCGGGCGGUGGCGGCUCUUCGGUGCCGUUUCUUUCUUGGAAGCACCGCUUUGGAGUCCCUGGUUCGUCGAGUUGCGGCUUCGUCUCCUCGCGGUGACUCGUUCAUGGUGGAGAGCUCUUUAGACCCUUAGCUAUGCUCUUCUGCCUACUUGUUGUUUGCUUUGGGGUGUUUAGAGUAGCGUUGCUGUUCGUCAGCUCCCUUGUAUCUGCCUUGGGUGUGUGUGUGGUGUCGGGUGGUUUGCAUCAUGUAUGUCGAUCGUUGCUUUAUAUAUAAAGCGGGGCGAAAGCCUUUUUCG